rnacentral:rRNA from 1 species
UACGUAGGGUGCAAGCGUUGUCCGGAAUUAUUGGGCGUAAAGAGCUCGUAGGCGGUCUGUCGCGUCGGCUGUGAAAACCUGGGGCUCAACCCCGGGCCUGCAGCCGAUACGGGCAGACUAGAAUUCGGUAGGGGAGACUGGAAUUCCUGGUGUAGCGGUGAAAUGCGCAGAUAUCAGGAGGAACACCGAUGGCGAAGGCAGGUCUCUGGGCCAUAACUGACGCUGAGAAGCGAAAGCAUGGGGAGCGAACAGG